rnacentral:ncRNA from 1 species
GCAGUUUUGGUCCUAGACUCAGUAUUAAUUUUAACUAAACUUACACAUGCGAGUUUCAGCAUUCCAGUGAAAACGCCCUAAUCAAACCAUUAUUUGUUUAGGUGUUGGUAUCAGGCACAUACCUUUAUAGCCCACGACACCUCGCUUAGCCACACCCUCAAGGGACUUCAGCAGUGAUAAAUAUUAUACAAUAAGCGCAAGCUUGAAUUAGUUAUAGUUAAAAGAGUUGGUUAAACUCGUGCCAGCCACCGCGGUUAUACGAGUAACACACAUUAAUACUUCACGGCGUAAAGGGUGAUUUAAAAAUUCUUAAUAAUAUUAAAGUUAAAAUUUUAUAUAGCUGUUAUACGCACCCAUAAACAAGAAAUUCAUUGACGAAAGUAACUUUAUAAAAAUUGAUUUUUUGACCUCACGACAAUUAAAACCCAAACUAGGAUUAGAUACCCUACUAUGUUUAAUUAUAAAUAGAUAAUUACUUACUACCUCAUUCGCCUGAGAACUACAAGCGCUAGCUUAAAACCCAAAGGACUUGGCGGCACUUCAGAUCUACCUAGAGGAGCCUGUUCUAUAACCGAUAAUCCACGUUAAACCUCCCCACUCCUUGCCCUAAAACCGCCUAUAUACCGCCGUCGCCAGCUCACCCUAUGAAGGAAUAAAAGUAAGCAAAAUGAAUAUAUCAUUCAACACGUCAGGUCGAGGUGUAGCGAAUGGAGUGGAAGAAAUGGGCUACAUUUUCUUUCAAGAAAAUUACGGAUAAUAAAUGAAAAAUAAUUAAUAAGGUGGAUUUAACAGUAAGAAUAAAUAAGAAUUUUAUACUGAAGCCAGCUCUGAAGCGCGCACACACCGCCCGUCACUCUCCUCAAACUUGAAAAUUUACUUACAUAAAAAAAUUACAAACAUAAGAGGAGGCAAGUCGUAACAUGGUAAGUGUACCGGAAGGUGCACUU